rnacentral:rRNA from 1 species
GAUGAACGCUGGCGGCGUGCUUAACACAUGCCAGUCGAACGGUGAAAGAGAGCUUGCUCUCUGGAUCAGUGGCGAACGGGUGAGUAACACGUGAGCAAUCUGCCCCUGACUCUGGGAUAAGCGCUGGAAACGGCGUCUAAUACCGGAUACGAGCUGCGAAGGCAUCUUCAGCAGCUGGAAAGAACUUCGGUCAGGGAUGAGCUCGCGGCCUAUCAGCUAGUUGGUGAGGUAACGGCUCACCAAGGCGUCGACGGGUAGCCGGCCUGAGAGGGUGACCGGCCACACUGGGACUGAGACACGGCCCAGACUCCUACGGGAGGCAGCAGUGGGGAAUAUUGCACAAUGGGCGAAAGCCUGAUGCAGCAACGCCGCGUGAGGGACGACGGCCUUCGGGUUGUAAACCUCUUUUAGCAGGGAAGAAGCGAAAGUGACGGUACCUGCAGAAAAAGCACCGGCUAACUACGUG